AAUACAGAGGUCCCAAGCGUUGUUCGGAUUCACUGGGCGUAAAGGGUGCGUAGGUGGUCGGGUAAGUCUGAUGUGAAAUCUCCGAGCUCAACUCGGAAACGGCAUUGGAUACUAUUCGGCUAGAGAGUCGGAGGGGGGACUGGAAUACUUGGUGUAGCAGUGAAAUGCGUAGAUAUCAAGUGGAACACCAGUGGCGAAGGCGAGUCCCUGGACGACUUCUGACACUGAGGCACGAAAGCUAGGGGAGCAAACA
rnacentral:rRNA from 1 species